GACCCACAGACCAGCCAGUGCAAAUGAAUGCAUCCCAACCCCAGUCACCACCGGGGGACCCCCACCACCGGAGCCCUGUUGAGGAAAAGGGGAUCGGGUAGAGAGAACCCGAGAGUGUGUGGGCGGCGGCGGCCCCAGCGGUGGCGAGGUCGCACGGUGCGUCUAUACUGCAGGCCGCGAACGGCGACCGGGAUCAGCUAGGGCGCUGCAUGGCCAUGGACUUCCCGUCUCUCACGCCGACAGAAGAAGCGGCUAGCACGGCGCGCGCUAAUGGAGCUGGUUGGGGGUGGUCGUCAUGGGAAGAUUUUUCGGCUAGUGGAUCGCGUGUUGCUGUUCUUGUGGAUUUCGGAUUAGGAGCAAUGGCCCGGGAGGCGAGGAAACUAGUGUGGCUGCUGGUGGCGUCGGCGUGUCCGAUUUCACGGAGAGUGCAGGGGACAACGUGGAUGUCAUUGACCACGGUUGUGUUGAAGGGCCGCCGGUUGCAGACCAGGAUGUUGUAAUUUAAGAGCGUGCUGAUAGUGGCGAUGCAGUCUCAGCACAGUCGCAAGAUGGAUCCACAAGCCAUGGCAUAUACUAAAAGGGUUAAGAGUAGGGAAUCAUGCUCCAGAUAGUACGCCAUGCCCGGAUAGGGAUAUGCGGAUAAACUUGGCGACCAUGUAGUUGACCCUGCCAUUGGCCUAACAUUUGACUCACUCGGUGAGGCCUACGAUAUUUACAACCUGUACUUGUUGGAGCACAGCUUUGGUAUAAGGAAACCAACAAAGGAAAACAGCAGGUCCUGCCGCUGUGAGUGUCCAGCAAUGAUAAGAAGCGGCAGGAUGAUAACAUGCCUACUGAAUCUGAACUCUUGCAGUGCAUCUUGACGACAUAUGAACUGAGGGUUGAACGGGAAUCUUGUCUGUGGAGACAACCAGCUGCAUGACGUGAAGGUGAAAAAUGGUUCACCGUGGCCAGAGGCUGUCCUAAUAAGUUUCAGUUUGUUUGUGCAGGAAGCCGAGGAGGAAGGGGUGGCAGGAGGAACUACAAACAAGCUUGUUUGCGCUCCGGUUGUGCUGGAAACCAAUCUCGGGGGGCUGCUAACUGAGAACAGUAGAUCAUGCAGAUGGACAGCGAUCAGGUGACUUGCUCUAUCUGACGUCCAUUGUAUAUCCAACACAGGGGAUUGGCAACAAAAUUUCUUGGUAGAAACACAGGGCAACGGUUCGAACGGGCUUGGCGAGCUCGUUCUCUCACAUGACGCAUCGCCGAGGAGAGCAGUGCUGCGGGACUGCCGUGGAGGACUAGCAAUGUCAAGAUAGAGGAAGGAGUGUCAGCACUGCCGCAGGUUCCUUUCCGAUUAUCUCGCGGACCGCUCGAUACCAUCAUAAGUCAGUAGUAAGCUUUCUGAUUGUAAGGCUGGAAGAUUGUUUUUUCAGUUCUUUGCAAUCGUUAGUGCUGUGUAAAUGGUUAGUGCAUCUACAAUUCAACUGAUUCUGAAUUUUAAUGCUAGUGGUAAAUAGUUUCUGUUCUGAAUGGUUCUGAAUUUCA